rnacentral:rRNA from 1 species
UUGAUCAGUGGCGAACGGGUGAGUAACACGUGAGUAACCUGCCCCAGACUCCGGGAUAAGCCUUGGAAACGAGGUCUAAUACUGGAUACGAGACGCCCCUGCAUGGGGAGUGUCUGGAAAGAUUUAUCGGUCUGGGAUGGACUCGCGGCCUAUCAGCUUGUUGGUGGGGUAAUGGCCUACCAAGGCGACGACGGGUAGCCGGCCUGAGAGGGCGACCGGCCACACUGGGACUGAGACACGGCCCAGACUCCUACGGGAGGCAGCAGUGGGGAAUAUUGCACAAUGGGCGAAAGCCUGAUGCAGCGACGCCGCGUGAGGGAUGAAGGCCUUCGGGUUGUAAACCUCUUUCAGCAGGGAAGAAGCGCAAGUGACGGUACCUGCAGAAGAAGCGCCGGCUAACUACGUGCCAGCAGCCGCGGUAAUACGUAGGGCGCAAGCGUUGUCCGGAAUUAUUGGGCGUAAAGAGCUCGUAGGCGGUUUGUCGCGUCUGGUGUGAAAACUCAAGGCUCAACCUUGAGCUUGCAUCGGGUACGGGCAGACUAGAGUGCGGUAGGGGUGACUGGAAUUCCUGGUGUAGCGGUGGAAUGCGCAGAUAUCAGGAGGAACACCGAUGGCGAAGGCAGGUCACUGGGCCGCAACUGACGCUGAGGAGCGAAAGCAUGGGGAGCGAACAGGAUUAGAUACCCUGGUAGUCCAUGCCGUAAACGUUGGGCACUAGGUGUGGGGCUCAUUCCACGAGUUCCGUGCCGCAGCAAACGCAUUAAGUGCCCCGCCUGGGGAGUACGGCCGCAAGGCUAAAACUCAAAGGAAUUGACGGGGGCCCGCACAAGCGGCGGAGCAUGCGGAUUAAUUCGAUGCAACGCGAAGAACCUUACCAAGGCUUGACAUACACCGGAAACUUCCAGAGAUGGUUGCCCCGCAAGGUCGGUGUACAGGUGGUGCAUGGUUGUCGUCAGCUCGUGUCGUGAGAUGUUGGGUUAAGUCCCGCAACGAGCGCAACCCUCGUCUUAUGUUGCCAGCACGUCAUGGUGGGGACUCAUAAGAGACUGCCGGGGUCAACUCGGAGGAAGGUGGGGAUGACGUCAAAUCAUCAUGCCCCUUAUGUCUUGGGCUUCACGCAUGCUACAAUGGCCGGUACAAAGGGCUGCGAUACCGCGAGGUGGAGCGAAUCCCAAAAAGCCGGUCUCAGUUCGGAUUGGGGUCUGCAACUCGACCCCAUGAAGUCGGAGUCGCUAGUAAUCGCAGAUCAGCAACGCUGCGGUGAAUACGUUCCCGGGCCUUGUACACACCGCCCGUCAAGUCACGAAAGUCGGUAACACCCGAAG